rnacentral:misc_RNA from 1 species
CCCGAGGAGAAAACCCAAAUAUGAUUGAACUAAGGAAAUCAGAGAACUCUGUGUUUCCACGAAAAAUCUGCAGGACACUGCCUAAUUCCCAAAGAAGAAUCAGAGUGAUCAAUCAUAUUUGGGUAAAACCGACCCCAAUCGAAAACCAAAGACGCAAAAGCCUGGCAUGCCUUCUUCCAAAUCCGAAAAGGGGCGCAUUCAAGGCUGAGAUUUUGUAAUCGCAAUACCAGCAAGAAAUGGUGUUUGAUAGACGGCGGAUUCGGGUUUCUGAAGUUCGAAGGGGAAGAAGAGUGU